GGAGUAACCCAGUACCUUUGUGAUUCUUCAUAGACAUAAACAGAGAGAAGUAGUUCCGGCUACGAUGUCCUUCCGCAAGACGCAAGCAGUUCUGUUUAUUAACCGCUAGAGCGUCAAAAGUUCCGUACCGCAGCUUUAAAACUCCAUGUAAACAUUGUGUAAGUUUUCAUUGGAGAUUCUUGAUCCUCCUUUCCGUUCUUUCAAUCGCUUUACGUUUACGUCGACAUUCCAUGUCCAUUAUUGUGAAACCUGCGAGACACAACAGAAACACAGCUCCGAUCACAGUGCCCUGCAUCCUCCUGUUGUUAACCUUAUUCUUAUUUGUUAACCAAAUAACAUCGUUGUUGACCGGUUUAAAUCACGUCCUAGUACACACGGUCGGUACAACCCUUUUCACACUCUCAGCCACUGAGCUUUAUUCUAAAGUCUAAAAAACAACAACUUUGUUUCUGUAUUAGAACUAAAGGGAGGUGGGGAUUCUCUAAGGCACAUAUGUUAUGGGCCAUAACUCUAAGUCUGGAGGAAAAAAACAAACAAAAAAAAACGGAGUGAUGAAUCGUGCAGUCGCAAAUAACUGACAAUCUGAUCCAUUGUCCAGGGCAAGAAUGUGAAAUGGAAAAGUUCUUAUCAGGAAUGGAGAGACCUUCUUCUGAGGAAAUAAAUGGCACCCACACCUCCAGCUCACAGAGACGAUACAGAGAGAUGAAAUGGAAGGAGGAUUUUUACCAACUUUUAUGAAUUCUAUUUGAUCUUGCUUCUGUCGUCACUUGUUGGCAAAAACACACAACUCCCUUGUGCUGCUCGUGCCGAGGGUGGGCAGAACAGCAGAGGGAAUGUGACAAGGAAUGCAAGCAAGCAACAGAUGGGAAACAGAGUGGUCAAUUACACCAAGCUGUAACAAUCACUGCAUGUGCAGCAUGAGAGGAGGAGAUGAGGUGAUUCAUUCAGACAAAUGAUACCUCUCUCAUAUACGCCUCCUGCUAGAAUGGCAUAUAUGUCACGCCAGGUUUCCAGUUAGCAUGCACUGUAAAAAAUUUCUGUAAAUUUACAGCAUAUUAACAGCGUAAAUAUACAGUACUGAACUGUUUUCUAAAAUUACGGUGUCUUACCGUAAAUGCACACGUGAUCGGUGGGAGAGGGGGAACCAAAGGCUAGCUGAGGCAUGGAGGAGCAUGGUUUCAGUCAAAGUUUUAUGGAUUUCAUCUCAAGUUGAGGCUCAUUUACAGAAGAUGAGCACGUGAUCGGUGGGGGAGGGGAGCAACGGUUAGCGUCUGAUACCAGAGAAAAGCAUCAUCAGUCUCAGUGAAUAAAACGGAUAUUAUCUCAAAUAUAAUCUCGAUUACAGAUUGCAGAUAACGAGGAUAUGAAGAACACGAAGAUGGACUGGAUUCGCAUGCAGAUGUUGCAGCAUCUGCAUAUGAGGUUGAGAAGACACUCAAUCUACCUGCCAAUCCGCAUCUGAUUUUGGUGGGUUAGUGUGUCAUUGCGCAUGAUGAAGAAGAAACAUUUACUGAUGGCUGAGAUAUAAAAUUGUUAACAUUGCUGUUGUGCACAAUUGUUAAAAUUGCUUCUUUUUUUUCUGUUUUUUUUGUGAGUGUCCAGUCAACAUUUUUGACUGCAGUUGCAACAGUGUUUGCUGUGUACUACAUCUUCAACCUGCAGUAUCAAGAGGCGGCUUGUUGCACAUUAGAGUUUUUUCAAAGAUGAUUCUAUGGAAUAAACCCAGAAAGAGGCUCAAAGACCUGCCGAGGCAAGGUAGUCUCCAAG